rnacentral:misc_RNA from 1 species
GAUGAAGAACGCAGUGAAAUGCGAUAAGUAAUGUGAAUUGCAGAAUUCAGUGAAUCAUCGAAUCUUUGAACGCACAUUGCGCCCGCCAGUAUUCUGGCGGGCAUGCCUGUUCGAGCGUCAUUUCAACCAUCAAGCCCCAGGCUUGUGUUGGGGACCUGCGGCUGCCGCAGGCCCUGAAAACCAGUGGCGGGCUCGCUGUCACACCGGGCGUAGUAGAUUUUAUCUCGCUCAGGGCGUGCUGCGGGUUCCGGCCGUUAAAAAGCCUUUUUUACCCAAGGUUGACCUCGGAUCAGGUAGGAAGACCCGCUGAACUUAAGCAUAUAAUAAGCGGAGGA